CCUACGGGAGGCAGCAGUGAGGAAUAUUGGUCAAUGGGCGGAAGCCUGAACCAGCCAAGUAGCGUGCAGGAUGACGGCCCUACGGGUUGUAAACCGCUUUUAUACGGGAAUAACGCGCCUUACGUGUAGGGCUUUGCAUGUACCGUAAGAAUAAGGACCGGCUAAUUCCGUGCCAGCAGCCGCGGUAAUACGGAAGGUCCGGGCGUUAUCCGGAUUUAUUGGGUUUAAAGGGGGCGGAGGCCGCAAGUCAAGCGUGCUGUGAAAUGUCAGGGGUCAACCCGUGCCGAGCCGUGCAAACUGGCGUGCUUGAGUCAGCGGAAAGCAGGCGGAAUUCGUGGUGUAGCGGUGAAAUGCAUAGAUAUGACGCAGAACCCCGAUUGCGAAGGCAGCUUGCUGCAGCGGAACUGACGCUGAUGCUCGAAAGCGCGGGUAUCGAACAGGAUUAGAUACCCGAGUAGUC
rnacentral:rRNA from 1 species